GACGAACGCUGGCGGCGUGCUUAACACAUGCAAGUCGAACGGAAAGGCCCUGCUUUUGUGGGGUGCUCGAGUGGCGAACGGGUGAGUAACACGUGAGUAACCUGCCCUUGACUUUGGGAUAACUUCAGGAAACUGGGGCUAAUACCGGAUAGGAGCUCCUGCUGCAUGGUGGGGGUUGGAAAGUUUCGGCGGUUGGGGAUGGACUCGCGGCUUAUCAGCUUGUUGGUGGGGUAGUGGCUUACCAAGGCUUUGACGGGUAGCCGGCCUGAGAGGGUGACCGGCAAAAUUGGGAAGGAGAUAGGGCCAAGCCGCAGAGGGGAGGAGGAGGGGGGGAAUAUGGAAAAAGGGGGGAAAGCCGGAGGCAGCAACGCGGGGUGGGGGAUGAGGGCCUUGGGGUUGAAACCCGGUUUCGCCGGUGAAGAAGGGGGAGGGAGGGAAGGGGAUAAAGAAGACCCGGAAAAUUACGGG
rnacentral:rRNA from 1 species